rnacentral:lncRNA from 1 species
CACCGGCAAACAGAAACCACGAUAGCAUAAUGGGAUUUUGUCACAAAUGCAGAAGUCGUCACAGAGAAAGUUCUAAAAGUCUAUGUUACGUGAGUUAUUCUCAAAAAGAAGAGGCCCUGUGAAGAUAUUGGAAGACAGGUGUCUACAAGCCAGGAAGAGAGGCCUUGCCAAAAUCCAACCCUGAUGACAAUUUGAUCUUGGACUUCUGCCCCUGGAACUGUGAGAAAAAUACGUACUUUCUACUGUUUAAGCCACUCAGUCUGAGGUAUUUUGUUUUGACAGCCUGAGCCACACAGCUAAUACAACAGCUAAUAAAUAUUAAGAAAAUGACA